AAUUCUAUUUUAAUGCAAAAUAAAUCUAUUCUAGCACAAAAUAAAUCUAUGCAUUUAAUAAAUUUAUAUCAUAGAUUUUUAAAUUCUACAGAUCUACUAAAAUUAAAUUAAAAAUAAAGGUAGAAGAAAGUAGCCUGAUUGAAGGCAGGUCGAAGCGCGUAUAUGCUAUCCUAAAAAAGUAUUUGCCCCCACGUACGGAUCUUCCGGCAAUCCUCCUCUGAGAUACGACGACCCUACAACUUCUUCUUCGGCACGUCUCGGAAGAAGUCAAAGCAAAUCCGAUUGGACUUGCAGAUCCAGUAAAGAACGAAAGUAAAAAAUAAAAUAAAAUAUAAAAGAGCAAGAAUAAAAAUCACAAGUGGCUAGGAGGAGGAAGAACUUUUCUUCAGAAUUUUUCCAAUAUUUUUCUCUAAUUUUUCGUGUUUCGAAAGAGAUGAAAUUGAGGGGUAUAUAUAGGGGUAUGUGAUCAGGGGCAAAAUGGUAAUUUUGCGGAUGCGUCCGCGGAAGUAGCCACGCUGCCAGCGAAAUGCCAACGGGUGUUUUGCUGAUUUUAAACGCGCAAACCCACUGGCAUUUCCUUGUUCUCAAACGCGCACGUGCAUGACCGGCCAAUUAGAGCCACGAGGCGCGUAGUCCCCAGCUCAAAUCCAAAUAACCCGAUUUUAAACGCGUAAACCCGCUGGCGUUUCCUUUUUCUCAAAUGCGCAUGCGGCCCGAGAUUUGGCCGCAUGCGCAUUUAAGUUUUUCCCAA
rnacentral:lncRNA from 1 species